rnacentral:lncRNA from 1 species
AUUUUGCUGAUACCACAUAAAUUUCAUGAGUACAUGAUGGAGAGGAGAGAGAAGGAGAUGAAAAAGGAAGGGAAAGGAAGAGAAGAGGAGAUCAAGAUUGUAUGCAAGACGCUGCCCACUUCUCUACACUCUGGGCUGGGAAGGAAGAGAAAAUGAUCAGAACAUAAUGAGCCAACCCAACCACAUCUUGGUGAUGCACUGCAAAGGAAAUGAAUGAUACUUUACUUUUGAAGAGUGUGUGGGGGCUUAGCUUUUUACUCUGUCUGGGGAGAAAACUCCAGUUUAUUCUGGAAUAUGUUUCCACAACUCUGAUUUAUUUCAUCCAUCUGUCUCUGUGGAUCUCUUUCUGGCUUUGCAGACUUGGGUACCCGUUCUGAAAAACCAGGUUGGCCUUCUCAACCUAGGAAGGAAAGGAGGGUGGCAAAGGUGCCCUGCACAGGACCGCAGGGCAGAAGCAAGAAUGAGGAGAAAAGAAGACUUUAUUCCACCUGGUACCUUGGACUGAAGUUGCAGGAGCAGUGAUGGUUCCACUUCCCACAACACCUCUGCCACCAACCAAUUGAGGGUCUUCAGGAGAAGUGUUCUUAUCUGUGCAAUAGAGCCUGCCAGAAGGGGCACCUGGCAACCCUCUUCAGAGGCUUGAUCCUGUGCUGCAGAAACCUAUGGACCUGCUCAACCUGUGCACUGGAAUUCCAGGGAUAGACUGAGCUGUCCCUAGGAGGCUGGGAGCAUUCUCCAGCAGAGACCAGCAACUGCCUCCUGCCUGGAGAAUCUGGAAGGAGGAAGGGCGGCUGGAAUCACCUGUGAUGACUCCAGUGUGUCAGAGAAGACAGGAAGACCAAGAAACAGCCAAGGAGAGGGGCUGAGGAAUGAGAGAUGGAGGAGACAACAGAUUGUCCUUCCCAUUGCCAAACCUUAGGCCGGGCCUGAGGGGAUCAGACUGGGCAAUUGAAUCCUCAAAGGUUCCUGGAAGGACUACUUAGGAAUUGAAUGUGCUGAGACUUCCUCUCAAAGGAGCCCCUCCUUCUUAAAUGAAUCCAGGAGAGAAGUUCUGAAGACUGUGGUCUAUGCUAAAGGAAUGCAGAUAUUUAUAAAUGGUCAUCUGCAUUGAAUGAACCAAGUCCAAAUGACAAUCAAGGAGAACUGUAAACAUAGGAAAAGAGGGCUGAACCCAUGCUUCCAGGGAAGGAAGAAGAGAGAGAGAAAGAGAAGAGAAGAGAGAGAGAGAGAGACUGACUUCUGGAAUCAAUCAAGGGAAGUCUGGAAAUGGUGGAUGAAUGGAACAGAAAUCCCCAAGCCAAGUGUGAACAGGUGACAGGCCUCUCUAGGGCCAAGGGGCUAGACUCUGUAGCCAAGCAUUGAGCACCAAAUGUGAACAUGAUAGAGUUGUCAGUCAGAAGAAACUGCUUGCCUAUUGUCUAGUAAGCUGCACCUUGAACAACCAGCUGGAGUGGUGGUUCUGGAGUAGCUGCCUCUUCUGGUCUGGAAUGCAUAUAAACACCACGAAAAAGGCCCAGAGCUGGGCUGGCAAGGGGUCUUUCCCUGGGGAGAGCAGACCACCCACACCUUUUGGGAGACUACUUUAGGCUCAUCCAGGAGGCCUUUUGAUGUGUCUGUUAUACUGAAGAUAGUGUUUUGAGGUCCCCAAUCUUUCUUUAUGUUGUUGGCUGUCAUAUAAAAAACAAACAUCAGGAGAGAGAACAACUGUUUUAACUCAAGUAAUAGCUUAAGACUAAAAAUGAAAUAAAUUCAGGGUUAUUAACAAGAAUCUAUCAGAUCUUCUGCUAAAAGAGAAAAAAAGAGAGAGAGAGAAAGAGAAGGAGAAGGGGAAAGUGGGGGAAGGGAGAGAAGAAGAGAGGGAUGAAAAGAGAGAAUGGAGGAAGAAGCGAGGGUGAAGGAAGGAGAAAGGAAGGACUAUGAGAAAAAUCAGCACAGAUCAUCUUUGGUGUGUAUUAAAAACAAUAUAGGAAGUUUUUUAUGUCCAUAAAAACUGCCUUUUCCCAUUUGUGUUGACUAUGUUGCCCUCAAGGUCUAGUGUUAUAUUCUCUCACUUUUGAUAAACACAUGGUAGCAAGAUACAAAAACAAAAGCAAGAAAAAAACCAAUAUAGCCAUGUGGAUAAAGGAGUACUAGUAUUUAAUUUCAAUAUUAAGGGCAAUAGGGCUGGGUAGGGACUGUGGCUAAUUGGUAUACAUCAAUCCUAUCUAAAAGGGGAAGUCACCAUUCAGCACCAGGCUGCUGUUGCCUUGAGUGAAUGCAGAGCUUAUAUUGCCAGAUCUGAUUUUGUAAGAGAUACUGAAAAUUCAGUUUUAUAUGAAAUCUCCAAGUUUUAAAGUAUUGAACCAGUUCUUUGUAAAGCCCAUGUCAGGCUCCAUUUAUAUUGGGGACUUCUGGUUUGUCACCUGAGACCUAAAAGGACAACUGAAAUAUUAAAAGUGUGACAUCCAUUACUCUUUUCAAAUGCUGCACUUCCCCUCCACCCCCCAGACAUAGUAGCAGAAACAGGUUGGUGUUUUAGAUGUUGGCAUAAUCAGGACUUUUAAAUUAAGUAAAAUAAGCAAAGUGUUUUUCUUUUUUUAAACACUGUAGCCAUGUUUAAAUAUGUCCCCCAUAUUCUUUGGCACUCUUCCCAUUGCACAGUGGCAUCUAUUAUGCCCUCUCCUCUAGAAUCUGGGUGGGCUUGUGACUGCUUUGAACAAUUGAUUAUGGAGAAACCAAUACUAUGUGACUUCUAGGCUGGGUCACAAAAGGUCAUGAAGUUUCUUCCUGAUUCCCCUGGAACGUUUCUUGAAUGCUUGUGCUUGGAAUGUUCAGCCUCUCAAGAUCCUCAGGACAGUCUCAGAAUCCAGUAUCCAUGCUGAGAGAAGCCUGAGCCCUGUGGAGUAGUCAUGCUUAGGCACUCUACUGGACAGCUCCAGCUCAGCUCCCAGUCAACAGCCAGCCACUGGUCUAGAAUUGCAUCCUCCCACUUUUGAAAAAGACAUGAUACCAAGAUAAAUGUUUUUCUGACUAAAACGAAAACAAAAGCAAGAAAAAAUCACGGAAGUCCAGCCUUGUUGAACCUCCAGAAGACUCCAGCUCCAGCCACCACCUGGCUAUGAUGGCUGGAGAGAUCCCAAGUGAAAAACAUCCGGCUGAGUCCACUCUAUUCACAGAACCGAAGAGACAAUAACAUUGUUUUAAGUCUCUAAGUCUUAGGGUGGUUUGUUAAAUAGCAAUAGUAACUGGCAGAAGCAUCUACUCUAGUCGGUGUAAGCAUGAAGGGCUAGAACGAGAUCCCUCUAGUACUGCAGCCUCACUUAGUGCUCCACUCAUUGGCAUUUGUUGUGUUCUUGCCCCAAUUCUCAUGGCACUGGAGGGAGGGGCAAGGCAUUCCACAGGAAACCUAAGCAUCAGCUAGCUGGGAGGGCUGCCAAGCAGGCUAGGGGAGCCCCAGCUUGGAGCAGCCUCCACAUGAGGCAAUUAAAAUGUGAAAUGUAACCUUUAAGGAAAGAGCCUGACUUUACCUUUGCAUCUUGGAGACUUGGGAUGCAGAAGACCUGUCAAGUCCUGUCCUCUCCCCACCCCCCACUCUCUCCCCAGCCCUGAUCACGUUUCUGUCUUAUGUUUGGACACAGGACUCAGACUUGUGUACACAUGGAGAAUAGCGUCUGGCGCCAAGAACGCAGAGCGGCUGAGAACUGGUGUUUCUCCUCUUAGGAAAGAAAAUGACAGGGAAAGGAAGAAAAAUAGGAAAGAAGAAAGGAAGAGAGAGAAGAAGGAAAAAAAGAGGGAGGGAGGGAAGGAAAGGGUAGGGAAGGAAGGAAAGAGGAAAAGAAGGAGGAAGAGGAAGAGAUGGAGAGAAGAAAGAAAGGAAGGAAAAGGGAGGGAAGAAAAGGAAAAGAGGGAGGAAGGGAGAAAUGGAAGAAGGGAAAGAAGGAAAAGAAGGAGGAAGAGGAAGAGAUGGAGAGAAGAAAGGAAGGAAGGAAAAGGGAGAGAAGAAAAAGAAAAGAGGGAGGAAGGGAGAAAAGGAAGAAGGGAAAGAAGGAAAAAAGGAAGAAGAGAGGAAUGGAAGGAAGAAGGGAAGGGAAAGAGGGAGACAGGUAAAGAGGGAGGGAGGGAAAUAAGGAAGAGGGAGAAAGAGGGAGAAAGGGGGGAGGAGCAAAGGACGGAAGAAGGAAGGAAAGAAGAAGGGAGGGAAGGGAAAAUAGAGGAAAUGAAGGACGGCACAGGGAAGGGGAAAAAGGACGAAGAGGAGGAAAAGAGGGAGGGAAGAAGGAAGAAGAAAAGGAAAGAGAAAAGAAGGAGGGAGGGAGGGAAGGAAGACAGGAAGGAAAACCAAACGUCGAGGUAGCACUGUGUGUUUGGAUUUCUUGCUUUACUGAAGUAUUACCUUCAUCAGAAGCAGAUGGACUGAAUCACGUCAAAGUCUACCUAGGCAGGAAGCAUUGUUUUAAUUUACCCAGGUCACGGCAAACAUAUUGUCAUUCAGCAUGUGAAACUGUUUGAACUUACAAGGAGUAACCCAGCAACAGCAAUUACCCCACGUGUCCGUUGUGCUCUGAUGAUACAAACGCAACUGGAAUGGAGUCUCAUAAUUUCACAAGGUGACAAAACAUUGAAUUCUGAUGUUUCACCUCCACCUGCGAAUGAGCAGGGAGGUGCUGAGAGGCCAGCUGAAUACACAAAUUCCUUGGGCCCAUGGGCACUGUACAGAGGCCGGCUGCACUGGGGCAAGCUUGCCCUCCUCUCAACCUCAGGCCGGCAGCCAAUGCAGAGCAGCCCCACCGCGGGCUUUUGUCUGCUGAGAGCACACCCCCUGCAUUUCUUAUCAGAUUUACUGUGACAAGGACCCGGAGAAAAGCAAGAUGCUGGUAAGAGCUCAUCAAUUCAGACCCCACUAUUCAGAAAUUUGGAUUUAUUUUUUUGUCACGGAGAACUAGAACUGAUGUGAAUCUUGGCACUAUCCUUGAAAAAAAAUCAUUCAUAAUAACACAACAAUAAUAUAUAACAUUUACUGAGUUCUGACUCUGAACGAGGUACUGUCUGGAGUGCUCUUCGUGGAUGUCUCAUUUAAUCUUCAAAGCAACACUGUGAGGAAGGUCCUAUUAUUCUCUCCAUUUUGCAGGCGAUUACUUUGAGGCACAGAGAGGUCAAGGCCUGCCCAAGGUCACACAGCUAAUGAAUGGGAGAGCCUGGAUUCAGAACCCCAGCAGUCUGAUUGAUGCCAGAGCCAUAUUCUCAAUCACACUUUAAAAGGCAACUCCCAGCUAGGUCAAGAAUUCAGAUUGUUUCUAUGGACCUGAAAAUCAUUUUAACAGUACCCAUUUCUGUUGUUAAAAAAAAAAAAAAAAAGACAAGACAGUGACCCAAUCGAUGAUUCUUAUCCAUUCAUUAAGUCAAAGUUGCUCCUUGACCAUCCUGUUAGCCCUUAUUUCAUGCAUGUGAAAUGAAUAAAACUUCAUUUUGUUCAAAAAGACCCUUGGAUUCAGACUUUCUAUGCUUUUAGGUGGGCUUUCUUAUUAUUAUUCAAAGUCACUGAGGUUUUUCUCAAAGACUUCGGAGACUAAACUAAUCACAGCUGCCUUUGAG